rnacentral:rRNA from 1 species
ACGCUCGACACCUACGGGAGGCAGCAGUGGGGAAUAUUGCACAAUGGGGGAAACCCUGAUGCAGCGACGCCGCGUGAGUGAAGAAGUAUUUCGGUAUGUAAAGCUCUAUCAGCAGGGAAGAAAAUGACGGUACCUGACUAAGAAGCCCCCGGCUAACUACGUGCCGGCAGCCGCGGUAAUCUGAGCGGGCUGGCAAGGC